GAGAGUUCUCCAAAGUCACGAGCUGUGAUAAACCAUGAAGAAGUUGUGUAUCGUUCUCGCCGUCGUUCUGCUGUCUUCGGCAAUGCUGGCGGAUGCUCAGGGAUUUCCUGGACGCGGUUUGCGUGGUCGUAGAUGCGGCCGACAAGUCUGCCGUUUGGGUCAACGCUGCGUUCAGGUGCCAAUUCGAUGCUUCAGAGCACCCUGCCCACGGCUGUUCAGAUGUGUCUGAAGGAGCAACUCACGAGCAGAAUGACCUAUCUGUCCGAAGCCCAGUGGCACGAGUUUCCAUCUGAGGGAAUGAGAGAAGGAGAGAUCCGACAAGAAAUGCUUUUUUAGUGCAGUGUCCAGUAAAGCAUAAUCUAGUCCUGGCUCUUUAUGUUUGUACUUAAAACGGGCCAUCCCAUAUUCGCCGACA